GGGUUGUGAGGUUAAGCGACUAAGCGUACACGGUGGAUGCCCUGGCAGUCAGAGGCGAUGAAGGACGUGCUAAUCUGCGAAAAGCGUCGGUAAGGUGAUAUGAACCGUUAUAACCGGCGAUGUCCGAAUGGGGAAACCCAGUGUGAUUCGUCACACUAUCGUUAACUGAAUACAUAGGUUAACGAGGCGAACCGGGGGAACUGAAACAUCUAAGUACCCCGAGGAAAAGAAAUCAACCGAGAUUCCCCCAGUAGCGGCGAGCGAACGGGGAGCAGCCCAGAGUCUGAAUCAGCUUGUGUGUUAGUGGAACGGUCUGGAAAGUCCGACGGUACAGGGUGAUAGUCCCGUACACCAAAAUGCACAGGUUGUGAACUCGAAGAGUAGGGCGGGACACGUGGUAUCCUGUCUGAAUAUGGGGGGACCAUCCUCCAAGGCUAAAUACUCCUGACUGACCGAUAGUGAACCAGUACCGUGAGGGAAAGGCGAAAAGAACCCCGGCGAGGGGAGUGAAAAAGAACCUGAAACCGUGUACGUACAAGCAGUGGGAGCACCUUCGGGUGUGACUGCGUACCUUUUGUAUAAUGGGUCAGCGACUUAUAUUCUGUAGCAAGGUUAACCGUAUAGGGGAGCCGCAGGGAAACCGAGUCUUAACUGGGCGUUAAGUUGCAGGGUAUAGACCCGAAACCCGGUGAUUCAGCCAUGGGCAGGUUGAAGGUUGGGUAACACUAACUGGAGGACCGAACCGACUAAUGUUGAAAAAUUAGCGGAUGACUUGUGGCUGGGGGUGAAAGGCCAAUCAAACCGGGAGAUAGCUGGUUCUCCCCGAAAGCUAUUUAGGUAGCGCCUCGUGAACUCAUCUUCGGGGGUAGAGCACUGUUUCGGCUAGGGGGUCAUCCCGACUUACCAACCCGAUGCAAACUACGAAUACCGAAGAAUGUUAUCACGGGAGACACACGGCGGGUGCUAACGUCCGUCGUGAAGAGGGAAACAACCCAGACCGCCAGCUAAGGUCCCAAAGUCAUGGUUAAGUGGGAAACGAUGUGGGAAGGCACAGACAGCCAGGAUGUUGGCUUAGAAGCAGCCAUCAUUUAAAGAAAGCGUAAUAGCUCACUGGUCGAGUCGGCCUGCGCGGAAGAUGUAACGGGGCUAAACCAUGCACCGAAGCUGCGGCAGCGACACUAUGUGUUGUUGGGUAGGGGAGCGUUCUGUAAGCCUGCGAAGGUGACCUGUGAGGGUUGCUGGAGGUAUCAGAAGUGCGAAUGCUGACAUAAGUAACGAUAAAGCGGGUGAAAAGCCCGCUCGCCGGAAGACCAAGGGUUCCUGUCCAACGUUAAUCGGGGCAGGGUGAGUCGACCCCUAAGGCGAGGCCGAAAGGCGUAGUCGAUGGGAAACAGGUUAAUAUUCCUGUACUUGGUGUUACUGCGAAGGGGGGACGGAGAAGGCUAUGUUAGCCGGGCGACGGUUGUCCCGGUUUAAGCAUGUAGGCUGGUUAUCCGUGCAAAUCCGGAUAAUCAAGGCUGAGGUGUGAUGACGAGGCACUACGGUGCUGAAGUAACAAAUGCCCUGCUUCCAGGAAAAGCCUCUAAGCAUCAGGUAACAUCAAAUCGUACCCCAAACCGACACAGGUGGUCAGGUAGAGAAUACCAAGGCGCUUGAGAGAACUCGGGUGAAGGAACUAGGCAAAAUGGUGCCGUAACUUCGGGAGAAGGCACGCUGGUGUGUAGGUGAAGCCCCUGCGGGUGGAGCUGAGACCAGUCGAAGAUACCAGCUGGCUGCAACUGUUUAUUAAAACACAGCACUGUGCAAACACGAAAGUGGACGUAUACGGUGUGACGCCUGCCCGGUGCCGGAAGGUUAAUUGAUGGGGUUAUCCGUAAGGAGAAGCUCUUGAUCGAAGCCCCGGUAAACGGCGGCCGUAACUAUAACGGUCCUAAGGUAGCGAAAUUCCUUGUCGGGUAAGUUCCGACCUGCACGAAUGGCGUAAUGAUGGCGAGGCUGUCUCCACCCGAGACUCAGUGAAAUUGAACUCGCUGUGAAGAUGCAGUGUACCCGCGGCAAGACGGAAAGACCCCGUGAACCUUUACUAUAGCUUGACACUGAACAUUGAGCCUUGAUGUGUAGGAUAGGUGGGAGGCUUUGAAGCGUGGACGCCAGUCUGCGUGGAGCCAACCUUGAAAUACCACCCUUUAAUGUUUGAUGUUCUAACGUUGGCCCCUGACCGGGGUUGCGGACAGUGUCUGGUGGGUAGUUUGACUGGGGCGGUCUCCUCCCAAAGCGUAACGGAGGAGCACGAAGGUUAGCUAAUCCUGGUCGGACAUCAGGAGGUUAGUGCAAUGGCAUAAGCUAGCUUGACUGCGAGCGUGACGGCGCGAGCAGGUGCGAAAGCAGGUCAUAGUGAUCCGGUGGUUCUGAAUGGAAGGGCCAUCGCUCAACGGAUAAAAGGUACUCCGGGGAUAACAGGCUGAUACCGCCCAAGAGUUCAUAUCGACGGCGGUGUUUGGCACCUCGAUGUCGGCUCAUCACAUCCCGGGCUGAAGUAGGUCCCAAGGGUAUGGCUGUUCGCCAUUUAAAGUGGUACGCGAGCUGGGUUUAGAACGUCGUGAGACAGUUCGGUCCCUAUCUGCCGUGGGCGCUGGAGAAUUGAGGGGGGCUGCUCCUAGUACGAGAGGACCGGAGUGGACGCAUCACUGGUGUUCGGGUUGUCAUGCCAAUGGCACUGCCCGGUAGCUAAAUGCGGAAGAGAUAAGUGCUGAAAGCAUCUAAGCACGAAACUUGCCCCGAGAUGAGUUCUCCCUGAGACUUUAAGUCUCCUGAAGGAACGUUAAAGACGAUGACGUUGAUAGGCCGGGUGUGUAAGCGCAGCGAUGCGUUGAGCUAACCGGUACUAAUGAACCGUGAGGCUUAACCUUACAACGCCGAAG
rnacentral:rRNA from 1 species